rnacentral:lncRNA from 1 species
AUAUCUGGAAGGCUGUGGUCCAAUGCCAUUUUUGCCGGCUAUAAGCAGGAUCUCUGGAACCAAAGGGAGCACACACCUCUUCUAAAAAUUGAAGUUGUUUAUGCCUGAGAUGAAACAGAAUUCUAUUUGGGCAAGAGAUGUGCUUAUGUAUACAAAGCAAAGAACAACCCAGUGACUCCUGGCAGCAAACCAAACAAAACCAGAGUAAUCGGGGGAAAGGUAACUCAUGCUCAUGGAAACAGUGGCCUGGUUCGUGCCAAAUUCCGAAGUAAUCUUCCUGCUAAGGCUAUUGGACACAGAAUCCGAGUGAUGCUGUACCCCUCAAGGAUCUAA